UGCACAGUCAUCUCUUGGAGCCAGUG
rnacentral:piRNA from 1 species